UACGUAGGGUGCGAGCGUUGUCCGGAAUUACUGGGCGUAAAGAGCUCGUAGGUGGUUUGUCGCGUUGUUCGUGAAAACCGGGGGCUUAACCCUCGGCGUGCGGGCGAUACGGGCAGACUUGAGUACUGCAGGGGAGACUGGAAUUCCUGGUGUAGCGGUGGAAUGCGCAGAUAUCAGGAAGAACACCCGUGGCUAAGGCGGCUCUCUAGUACGGUACUGACGCUGAGACGCGAAAGCGUGGGGAGCGAACAGG
rnacentral:rRNA from 1 species